GAAGUGGUGGCUCUUAGGACUUGGACCGGAUUCAGAAGGUGGUGGGAAAGAGACGGUAGCUUUUAGCUGUGCGAGUAUUACUUUGAUAAAUACAAGAUGUGACCUGAGUGACAGAGUUUUCUUUGUGACGAUGAAAAAGUUUCAGAAACACACGGUAGGGAUGGUUUCACAGCACUGUGAAUGCAGUUAAUGCCACCGAAUCGUAUACUUGAAAAUGAUCAAAAUGGCAAUUUUUAUGUUUACAUGUAUUUUACCACACUAAGAAGAAAGAAGCAUGACCCAAGGAUUAACAUUAAAAGAGUCGCUUCAAAAGUGGUUGAGGGAACUCAUCUGGGCAAAACAGAUAGAUGGUAAGAGAGGAGGCAGUGAGAAGAAGCCUGGGUGUGGGAGCUGCAUGUCCAGGCCGCUUUGGAUCGUCUCGAGAGCGGUAAACACGGACGCCGGCCUGACUCACGGAAGGGCGUGUGGCCCGGGGAAACAUGCGUGAAUAAUGAGACAGCCGCAGCGCCUGCACAAGCUGAACGCUAUCAUGUAAUUUCCCUCCAGGAAAAUUUCCUCUGGGAGAAAUUCCUGAGCCAUAUCUUCCUUGGAUAUCUUCCUGAACAAUCCCAGAUCCAACACGCUGCGUGCGUGACUGAGGAUACCACACAGCCAUCGUGAACAAUCCGCUCAAAUUGAAAGAGCGUUUAAUUUCUGUUUACAGACUAUGAAGAGCGCAUGUGCAAAAAUCGGAUUCAUGAGGGUUUGUGUCAGGAAGUGGAGAGAAUGUGCGGGAAGAAGAGACACCGGGUUAUUAAGAAUUGGUUUAGAAAUAGUCUGUUCAUGGGCGCCUGGGUGGCACAGCGGUUAAGCGUCUGCCUUCGGCUCAGGGCGUGAUCCUGGCAUUCUGGGAUCGAGCCCCACAUCGGGCUCCUCCGCUAGGAGCCUGUUUCUUCCUCUCCCACUCGCCCUGCUGUGUUCCCUCUCUCGCUGGCUGUCUCUGUCACAUAAAUAAAAUCUUAAAAAAAAAAAAAAAGUCUGUUCA
rnacentral:lncRNA from 1 species